GCUGGGUGUAGUGGCUCACACCUGUAGUCCCAGCUACUUGGGAGGCUGAGGUGGGAGGCUCACUUAAGCCCAGGAAGUUGAGCCUGCAGUGAUCCAUGAUGGGACCACUGCACUCCAGCCUGGGUGACAGAGUGAGACCCUGUCUCAA
ensembl:misc_RNA Metazoa_SRP Metazoan signal recognition particle RNA